UACGUAGGGGGCAAGCGUUGUCCGGAUUUAUUGGGCGUAAAGAGCGUGUAGGCGGCCAGGUAGGUCAGCUGUGAAAACUCGAGGCUCAACCUCGAGACGCCGGUUGAAACCAUCUGGCUAGAGUCCGGAAGAGGAGACUGGAAUUCCCGGUGUAGCGGUGAAAUGUGUAGAGAUCGGGAGGAACACCGGUGGCGAAGGCGGGUCUCUGGGCAUUUCCUGACGCUGAGGCGCGAAAGCGUGGGGAGCAAACGGG
rnacentral:rRNA from 1 species